AACCGGUCCGAACCGUCCUGAACAUCAGCUUCAUCGUAUUCUGCUGCUGCUCCUGUCAGCGUCAGGUUGGGUCACUGUGACGACGCUGCAGAGCUCCGUCAGAGACGGACCGCUGCAUCCUCGGUGCAUCACGGCGCGUCAUCACAGAUCCUUCCUGCCAGCAGCCAUUAGGCUCUGGACCCGUCAGCAGAAUCAAGUCUUUACAUCCCAGCUGGAUUCCAGAAUUGAAACUUCUGAUUGGAUCAGAACCAAAUCCACUGAUUCUGUCCAUCAGGAUGGCAGAAUCAUUUCUAACUCUGUAGAACCUCAGAGAGGCUGACCGGAACCAGUGUGGUUCUGGAUCCGGUUUGGUUUUUACAUGUUUACCUGUAAUGAACAUGGCGCCAGGUACUUUUCCACCUCAGAGUGACAGGAUGAAACCGGCAGCGCUAACGCCUCGCCGACAUGCCGCUGCACGCUGCUGGAACACGGAACCGCAGGGUUUGGUUCUGGAAGGAGGAGAAGCUUCGAUCCGCUUCACUCCCACUGCAGCUCAGACCAGGAUUCCUAACAGAACCCGCCUCAGGUGGACCUUCACGUUUAGCGGUUAGCUAAAACAGUUUCUGUUAUCUGAAAUAAUCAGACCAUUCAGUUCCUGCAGAACCCGGCCUGCCGGCCCGCUCCCCGUCCAUCUGCUGGAGGAAUUUCACUGAAACGUUUUCAUAGUUUAGAUGUUUUAAUCUCUGGGAGUUUAGAUGUUUUAAUCUCUGCGAGUUCCUGGAUGUGGAUUCCUGUCGGGUCUGCAGAGAAACUUCCAGGAAAAAUCUGUCUGACCUCUGAAUCGGGCCGAGACGUUACAUCAGCAGAUGUUUGGAUAAGAAAGGACCAGCGCACGUUUUUAUCAAAUCAGGCUGCAAAAGAAGGUCUUGUCUUCCUGAUAAAGGUCAAAGGUCAGAUUAAUGUCGCUGCAUAGAGCUGAACAGACAGUAAAUAUAGAAAAAAUCAACAUUAAUAUGCAAACAUCGACACACUAACGUUUAUUUUAACAAGUUGGUGUAAAUAUUAACUUCCAGUAUCGACAUCCAGAUGAAACGAUGAAACCUGAAAACCUCCUGAUCCAGAUUUACAGUAGAAACAGAGAGAAGUCAGAACCCGUCCAACAAGAACCAGCUUCUGCUUCUGCUCAGGUUGACCUUUCACCUCCGUCCCAUUUCUGUGUAAACAGCAGGAAGUUGAUCUUUAGAUAAACUGCUGCUGAUCAGACCAGGAUCAACAGACCCAAACAGAACCUGACCCUGACAGAACCGCCCCCCCAUGAUGCCUUUCACUGCCUGACCUUCUGCUGUGAUGACAUCAGCAUCUCUGAACCCGCUGAGGCUCCGCUUCCGGUCCGAACAGUUUGAGCUCCGGUGGGACAUUUGGAGCCGAUGUGUUAAACUGAGUCCAGUAAACGUCAGAACUCGGACAGAAUCGUGUUCAGUGUUUCCAGAAAAAUCCACAGAGAACAACGGUUCCCUUAAAGCUGCGGUGUCCAGUCAGUCAUGCAGGGCCCGGAUCCUGCAUGCUUCGGUUCUGGUUCAACACAACUGGAUCAACUGAUGACUCGUUAGCAGAACCUCAGCAGAACUUUGACCUGCUGAGGAAACAGUGGAAACAGUUUGAAUCAGCUCAGCUGGAGCAGAGACUCACGUAGAACAUGCAGGAACCGGGUCCAUAUGGACUGACUGACUGUAGACUGACUGACUGACUGUAGACUGACUGACUGACUGACUGACUG